GUUGGGUUAGCUCAGUGGUUAGAGCUUUGGUCGUGACCGGAAGGUCCGGAGAUCGAAUCCCAAAGAGACA
rnacentral:tRNA from 1 species